AAACUUUGAAUCAAAGAAGCAUAAACAUGUGUAUUACACAUUAAAUCAACUUCCAUUUUAUUCCAUACACUUUUUCGACAUUUUGUGACAUGUUGGAAAAUUCUGUCAAAGCUUUUUAUUGCAAAUUCAUUAAACAUAAAUUUGUUACCUUGGGAAACCCAAAGGAAUCCAAAUUUUACUAGUCAUAGACUUUCCCAAAUGCAAUUGUUCCUGAGAAGUAUUUUUCUCUAGGUGGCAAAAUUACUAAGCAAGUGACAUGACGCCUGGAAGACGAUCGCUCCGCCCACCUAAUCACGUGACCAGGCGUUUAGAAAACAUAGACAAGCUAAACGCAAAAUGGCGUCUAUGAUAAGGUUGAGCGAUAUUCCCGAUGAUUUUGUUGAACAUUUUUUUGCCGUAUAGAUGCUCUCUACGUCAACGAAUUCAAGGAAGAAAAUUUGCUAAUGAGUCGUACAUUCUGUCCGAAUUUUUAGGGGAAAUAAUGAUGAAAUCGACGUCAAAUCCCGUAUUUUCAGAAGUCAACGAAAGGGAGAGGAUCCCCAUACCGUGCAUUUCUCGAUGUCCAAAACUGCAAUUACGAUCGCACAUUGUAGUUGUAAGGCAGGGUAAGUUCUUAACUAUAGUUACCGGAAACAUAUUGAUGUUUGUUAAUAUACUGUUAUAACAUAAAUAAUCACUUCAUAUGAACGACAAUUCGCGCAUGUAUCAAUAGGCAUAUGAUAUGGCAAUUUUUCUAGUUGUUGACUUAAAACACCCGAUCUUGAUUUGAAAUGAUUAUUAUACUUGUUAUAUGUAUAAUGAUCCUUAGAUUCACAAAUAUAGACACGAUGCAUUUUCAAUCUGUAUUCCUUAUAAUCAGUUAUAUUAAUAUUGUUAAUAUGUAUGUCAUCAUUAAUUUAGAUGUAUUAUUUGCAUUGUUAUUUAUGUGCAGGAUUGUUGGAGAAUGCUCUCAUCUGCUGGCAGUGGUGUGAAAGUUAACAGACUGGAUUUUAGACGGCCUUACUGCUGUGCCAAGCCGGCCGUCAAGCACCUCAUGUCCGCAACAGUGGGACAAGCCGAGAGGAUCUAAGAUCAAGGCUGAACCGGUCUCUACCAUGGUUUUCUCUCGGUCUUCCAAUGUGACUAGGCAGAAGAGACCUAUGACCGCAAUCUUCAUUGACAACAGAAAAAUCCGGCUUACAGAAAAAGAUAUGAGUUUACUGGCAUCACUUAAUGACACACCACUGGGGUACCUGGCCUGCACUCAAGAUCAGACCAUACUUACAGACAAAGGGCCUCAAGCUGUUGUCUUUAGCACCCUAUCACAUCAGAUACCACGUAUCCAGCAAGUAGAUGACAUGUUAUGUCAAAGAGAAGCGUGUGGCUACCAUGAACUCCCAGACCAAUAAAUAUAAAUGUGAACAUUAUCAGUCAACAUUGUAACAACGUGGAAGCAUGUGAGUGUUACAAAUGAAGAAGCCCGGGCCAUAGAGUUAAACAAGCGUGACCAGUGCUCCAGUGCUGUAUGGGCUGCUGAACGACAGAAGCGUUCAACAGCCUCAAAGUUUGGAAGAAUAAUGCUGAGAAAAGCGCCAAUGAAUGAAAAUAUCAUAGACAGCAUCACAAAGGCAAAAGCAUUUUUAUCAGCAACCACCAGCUAUGGAAAAGCAAAUGAACUCAUAGCAUAAAAAUAUGUAUCGAAAAAAGACAAACAAUCAUGUACAUGACUGCGGCCUAUUUGUUAACCAGGAAUUCCCAUGUAUAGGGGCCUCGCCUGAUGUCAAAGUAUGCGGCAGCGGUGAAACCGGUAUUUUCGAGAUUAAGUGUCCGUUUUCAGUUCGCAACAUGGCAUUUUUAGAUGUUUUCGACAAAACAAAUCCAAGAAAAGAUUUUUUUUAAAUCUCAGAUGGUGAAAACAUUAGCUUAAAUAAGGCACACCAGUACUUGUUUCAAGUUCAGGGACAGUUGCUUGUUACAGGUGCAAAGUUUUGUGACUUCGUCACGUACACAAGACAAGACUUGCAUAUUAUGCGAAUUUUGCCCGAUAAAAAAACAAUUGAAAACAUACUUUUUAAAAUGUAUGAUGUGUACAAUAAAUAUUUGUUAAAGUAGUUACCUGUUGUAGCAUCAGUUUGGGUCCCGGCAGUGUGAGAAUGUUGUUAAGGCUCCGCAUUUUCUUUCUGUUCACUGUAAAUAAAAGCUAUGUAUGAUUGUGUGUAAGAAGUGAAUAUCUGUGCUUGACAUUUAUUGAAUCCUAUUUAAUUUAUAAUAUACUAAAUUAUUGGUUCCAAA